GAUGAACGCUAGCGGCAGGCCUAAUACAUGCAAGUCGAACGGGCGGUAGCAAUACCGCUAGUGGCGCACGGGUGCGUAACGCGUAACCAACCUGCCCAGAUCUGGGGGAUAGCCCGCCGAAAGGCGGAUUAAUACCGCAUAAACCCACAGUGUGGCAUCACAUAAUGGGUAAAGAUUUAUCGGAUCUGGAUGGGGUUGCGUAGCAUUAGCUAGUUGGCGGGGUAAUGGCCCACCAAGGCGACGAUGCUUAGGGGACCUGAGAGGGUGAUCCCCCACACUGGCACUGAGAUACGGGCCAGACUCCUACGGGAGGCAGCAGUAGGGACUAUUGGGCAAUGGGCGAGAGCCUGACCCAGCCAUGCCGCGUGCCGGAUGAAGGCCUUCUGGGUUGUAAACGGCUUUUCUCAGGGAAGAAAACGGGGAUGCGUCCUCAACUGACGGUACCUGAGGAAUAAGCACCGGCUAACUCCGUG
rnacentral:rRNA from 1 species